AUGAGUUUGAGAGUCUAUAGAGAUAGUAUAUAGAAGAUUAAAAAAAAAAAUCAGAGUGAUCCAAUAGAAGACCAAGCUUUUUGGUUUUAGGAUGGGGUUUGAUUUAUUACGUCUGCCAGACCAAGGAUUGGCUCAGGAAAACUAACAGAAGCUUGUAAGAUGGAGCUUCCGGCUGUCCUUGAGACAGAAAAGAGGUGAGAACCGGCUCCCUGCAGAGCUCAGGUAAGACUUUAAACCAUUACUAAACAUAGGGGACUUUUUAUUGAGUCAAAGAGGACGGGUCAGGAUUACUCUGCAGUGGUUGACUAAAGUAAUUACAACCCACUGUGCUUCCGCACUUGUGCACUAUACUUCAAGUGAUGAAUGCCUUGUUGGUCUCAUUGUAAAUGCUCAUUCUGUUACAAGGGGCUCUAUGUAGUAUACAGCAGUACUUAUAUUACUAUUAUAAUUUCUCGGUUAAAGGUCCCAAAUACGAGGACAUUAAGCGUUGUUUCAUGGAGUCAAACUCUGUAAAAAGCUAGGAAGCGCUACAGUAGCUGACUGGUACACAGCCACUACAGGCAGCCUUAACCCUGCAAUGUUAACGUAGUUUCUUUGAAACUGAAAGUUAUCAUCUGCAGGGCUAAAAUGAUAGCGUCAUUGCCCCAGAUCACUUCAAUGAGUUGAAGUGGUCUCGGUACCUAUAGUGUCCCUUUAAUUUCUGUGUGUAAUUUAUUGUAUCUAAAUCUUGUGUAAGAUAUCAGCCCAUGUUUGUGCUUAAUGAAAAAUGAUGCUGCUCUAUCACUUGUAUAAUGGCUAUAUUAACGCUGUAUUGUAUGUGCAGCAAUAAAGUAUUUAAAAAUAUAUAUCCACUAAUCAAACCAUUAAAGUGCACUUGUAAGGAAAACAGGGCAGCACUUAUGAGACGUAUGAACCCCAUGCUCACUGUGCUUAGAGGGGUUGCAGUAGCUCUCGUGCAGAGGGAACUUGAUGACAUUUCGGAUAUGGAAAGGUUGGUGGCUGGAACCGCACUCAAUCCCAGCUGCCACAGGUGCUCCGGAGCAGGACCAGCAAUCCCAAUACGACAAGGCAAACCAAAGAACGCACAGGCACUCCAAGAGUAAAGCCGCAGACAGGUUUACUGCAACAAAAUGCACAGCAACGUUUUGACCUUGACAAAGACCUCUAGUCAGGUCGAAACGUUGCUGUGCAUUUUGUUGCAAUAAACCUGCCUGCGGCUUUACACUUGGAGUGUCUUUGAGUUUUUUGGUUUGCCAUAUCGGAUAUGGAGUGACUUUCUGGGCAGGUUGAGUCUGAUAUGUAAAUGGUAUAGGUUCUCUCUCCGUUGUGUUCCUCGGCAUACAAACCAGGCCUUAAAAGUUACUCGCCACUGCACAAGGCACAACAUAUUCACCAGGGAUGAACUUCCUCUCAAUAAGACCAUUUUUACUCUCCAAUGGCUAGUGGAAAUCUUAAGAAAUAUAUAUAUUUUUUUUGUUAAUUUAAAUAUAAAAUGCAGGUCAAGUAGUAAUUUAAGUGUUGAGGUUGGAAUGACUUCAUGCAUUCAUUUGUUCCCUAUAUACAGGAUGCGUGGACACAAUGGACGGUGAAAUAUAAAAAUAGUUGAAAAGAAAAAACGGUGAAAAGUACUAAAAUCUCUAUAGUUGCACUGGUUUUCAGUACAGACACUGUUUAUAAAUAGGAAAAAUGAGGGGAUGGACUUUUGGCGCCUGUGCUUUGUACAUGUGGCAGCUUGGUCUUCCCUAACCAGAUUCUCUUCUUUCUGGUGGUGUAGUUGGAUUGCAGAAACGGGUGCGGGGAGACAGCACCUGUAGAAUCGUUCUCAGAUCCAGUGAUAUAUGGAAUGAACAAAGAAAC